rnacentral:rRNA from 1 species
CCUACGGGGGGCAGCAGUGGGGAAUAUUGCACAAUGGGGGGAACCCUGAUGCAGCGACGCCGCGUGAGUGAAGAAGUAUUUCGGUAUGGAAAGCUCUAUCAGCAGGGAAGAAAAUGACGGUACCUGACUAAGAAGCCGCGGCUAACUACGUGCCAGCAGCCGCGGUAAUACGUAGGGGGCAAGCGUUAUCCGGAUUUACUGGGUGUAAAGGGCGUGCAGCCGGGACGACAAGUCAGAUGUGAAAUCCCGCGGCUCCACCGCGGAACUGCAUUUGAAACUGUUUUUCUUGAGUACCGGAGAGGUCAUCGGAAUUCCUUGUGUAGCGGUGCAAUGCGUAGAUAUCAGGCAGAACACCAGUGGCGAAGGCGGAUGACUGGACGGCACCUGACGGUGAGGCGCGAAAGCGUGGGGAGCAAACAGGAUUAGAUACCCCAGUAGUC